rnacentral:rRNA from 1 species
UGGGGAAUAUUGCGCAAUGGGGGCAACCCUGACGCAGCAACGCCGCGUGCGGGACGACGGCCUUCGGGUUGUAAACCGCUUUCAGCAGGGAAGAUAGUGACGGUACCUGCACAAGAAGCCCCGGCUAACUACGUGCCAGCAGCCGCGGUAAUACAUAGGGGGCGAGCGUUAUCCGGAUUCAUUGGGCGUAAAGCGCGCGCAGGCGGCUCUUCAAGCGGAACCUCUAACCCCGGGGCUCAACCUCGGGCCGGGUUCCGAACUGGAGGGCUCGAGUGCGGUAGAGGCAGGCGGAAUUCCCGGUGUAGCGGUGGAAUGCGCAGAUAUCGGGAAGAACACCGAUGGCGAAGGCAGCCUGCUGGGCCGGCACUGACGCUGAGGCGCGAAAGCUAGGGGAGCGAACAGG